rnacentral:tRNA from 1 species
GGUCCUAUGGGGUAGCGGUCAGCCCGCCAGAUUUUCACUUUGGAAACCCGAGUUCGACUCUCGGUAGGACUA